GAAUUCAAAGGAAUCCUGAAUACCCUACGUCCAGGUUUACCAGUUGUUACCACUUUCCACAUUUUCUUCAUCAUUCUUUGUAUUUACAUUUUUUUGAAUCACUUGAGUCAGUUGCAGGCAUUGUGCCUCUUUAUCUCUAAACAUUUCAGUUCGUAUUUUUCUAAAAUAAAGAUAUUCUGUUACAUAACCACAUUAAAAUCCUCAAAAUCAGGAAAUUUAACAUUGUAGAUAAUCCUGUUAAAUAACCCUCUGCAGCCUAUGUCCUCUCCUCUUGAAUCUGGAUGGGGCUUGUGCCUGCUUUGACGGACAGAAUAUUGAGGAAGUGGCCUUCAGAAAGUUUGGCAGCUUCUACUUCCUCUUGGAGCCCGUGGUUGUCAUGUAAGAAGUGCAGGAUCACCCUCUGCUGGAGAGAGAGACCACACACAAAGGCUGGAGGAUGAGACUGCAGAGGGAGACCUCAUUAGUGGGCACCAAAGUGCCAGAUAUCCAACACCCAGCUGCCACCUUAAGCACAGAAAGAGGCCUCUGAUCCUUUCAGCCUAAAUGAAUUACUAGAUGAAUUAUCAAGGAAACAGAAAGAAGAAUUAUGGCAAAGGCUGAA
rnacentral:sRNA from 1 species